rnacentral:rRNA from 1 species
UCGGGAAUCUUCCGCAAUGGGCGCAAGCCUGACGGAGCGACGCCGCGUGAGUGAUGAAGGCCUUCGGGUUGUAAAGCUCUGUGGGGAGGGAAGAAUAAGCGUUGGUGAAUAGCCAGCGUGAUGACGGUACCUCCUUAGCAAGCACCGGCUAACUCUGUGCCAGCAGCCGCGGUAAGACAGAGGGUGCAAACGUUGUUCGGAUUUACUGGGCGUAAAGCGCGUGUAGGCGGCUUUGCAAGUCGGAUGUGAAAUCCCACGGCUCAACCGUGGAAGUGCAUCCGAAACGGCAUGGCUUGAGUCUCGGAGAGGAAGGUGGAAUGCUUGGUGUAGAGGUGAAAUUCGUAGAUAUCAAGCAGAACACCUGCGGCGAAGGCGGCCUUCUGGACGAUGACUGACGCUGAGACGCGAAAGCGUGGGGAGCAAACAGGAUUAGAUACCCUGGUAGUCCACGCCGUAAACGAUGAGUGCUAGGUGUCACGGGCUUUGACCCUCGUGGUGCCGUAGCUAACGCAAUAAGCACUCCGCCUGGGGAGUACGGCCGCAAGGCUAA